GCUUUAAACCGUUUCCCUCAGAACUUCGAAGCAUCACUAUGUUUUCCUGUAGCAUCAUUAUCGCUUAUGAGAAGACCCCCCAUUCUGGUUCUUACUCCGUCAAUCCCUAUUAGAUGGACAUUCGACAUCUGGAAUCAACCCUCAGGAUCUUCUAACUUGUCCCUUGUUUACUUCCGCUGUCUAUCCUUUGUUUCGUAUCUCGGGAGAUUUUGUUGACUCUGAGGGGUGAGAGGAACCUGUUUAGAUCCUUCACGAGCGCAUCUCUUUCCCCUGUGUUCCUUCCUUCGCUGUGGGCCGUUUAUCUGGGUCCUUCUCCCUGGAGUAAGGUUUCCACCAGCCGUCAGAGGACCGCAGUGCUCUGCUCUGAGGGUACGUCCCCGUACCCUGAAAGGGCACGAGAGGUAUUUCAUACGAAGCACCAGCUCCUGGUUCUGGAGGCUGGAG